AAUAUUUGACAAUGGGCGCAAGCCUGAUCCAGCCAUACCGCGUGAGUGAUGAAGGCCCUAGGGUUGUAAAGCCCUUUCACCGGUGAAGAUAAUGACGGUAACCGGAGAAGAAGCCCCGGCUAACUUCGUGCCAGCAUCCGCGGUAAUACGAAGGGGGCUCGCGUUGUUCGGAUUUACUGGGGGUAAAUCGGACGUAGGCGGAUUGGUCAGUUAGGGGUGAAAUCCCAGGGCUUAACCCUGGAACUGCCUUUAAUACUGCCAGUCUUGAGUAUGGAAGAAGUGAGUGGAAUUGCUGGUGUAGAGGUGAAAUUCGUAGAUAUUCGCAGGAACACCAGUGGCGAAGGCGGCUCUCUGGUCUGUAACUGACGCUGAGGCGCGAAAGCGUGGGGAUCAAACA
rnacentral:rRNA from 1 species